UGUUCUAUCCCCAAAAUGCUGCUUUGGUUGACAGGUAUUGUAAAUAGGCGUGGAUAUUGGCAGGUGAGACAUGAGAGUCCUGUGAUUUUGCUGUACUUUCUUCUUCCCAGUCCUUGGAAGAAGCUGCUGUGGAAGGGUCAUGCUGCUAUUCUCACUCUACAGCUAAGAAACCACUCCCUGACCCACUUAGCUAAGCUUUAAAGAAGUCUUGGAGCCACACAGCCACACUGAAUCCUGAGGGCAAAGCAGAAGGGGAGCAGCUGACAUCAGACACAUUCCAAGCUCCAGUGGAACCAGUAACAUGGGAUCUGAGUAUUACCUGUUCUCCAGGCAUCUGCUCAGCCUAUGCACGUGUGUGCCAGUCCCUCUUCUGCACCGAGCCUGGAACCAGCAUGCUGCUGUCCCCACACUGACUGCUCUGUCACUGAAGAGAGGGGUGAACACAAGAGCGAGACAAACUGGAGGUUCAGUCUGGUGGUGAGACAUUCUGAUACACUGCUGAAAGCAGAUUCAGUUUCCUGUUUUCUCACUUACAAAGGCUAUUCUCCAGUCAUCUCUUCAUUAAAAAAAUAAAGGCUUUAGGCCAGACCCUGCUGUCCAGCUGUACCAUCUUUAAAGUACAAGAUGAGAAUGUGAAGAGAUGAAACAAACCACAAAGGCUAAGCCUGUCAUCCAGUGUUGCACUCAUCUCCAUCUCAACUCCUGUAAUCUGAUUUCAAAGCCCAGUUAAAUACUACAACAGGCAACCUGUUAAGACAGCUUUGGACCAAUGCAAAACUCUACCUUCUCUCUGGACAUGUAUUCCCAAUCCUUUUCUUUAAGGGAAAAGAGAAAAUGGGAUGGCUUCCUUAAGUAC